AAGACUCGGGCUUUGUGUUAACCGCACAGGAGGUCCCAGCCUCUGAAAUUCCUCUCCCUGGUGGCCACUGUCUUGUGCUUUGGGUUGAACCGGUUCAACUCAGGUUCACAAAGCCAAUGGACAGACAACUACUGAAUGCUGUCAGCAUCACAAAAAGGUCUUGGUGGAGCCAAAAAGCAGCAAAACUCUGCAGCACCAGAGUCUGAAGAACCUAAAACAUCCACACGUGGGGACUUCCAAAGGGGCGAGGCAGUGAGGACGGCUGCUAGGCGUGUAACCUGAUGCUGGGCAAGUGGUGGGGCUCGCUCGUUGGAGAUGUUAGCACCCUCCCUGCUUCGGUGAACAGUGAAGGUCAGUUCCGUUCUCUGCAGGGGCCUGGACUGAAAAUCAGAAGGAAGAAGAGGCUCAGCUCCAUGCCUGUCCUCGAAUGUCUUGCUGUCUGCCGAAGGCUCUUCUAAAUGACGCGUGUAGGAUGACUGCGGCAUUCCAGAGAUGCCACUCUCCACUUCAGGGCUAUUGGUACGUGCAGCGCCAGAUGGCUGUCCUCAGGGUUCACUGCAGCUGAGCAUAAAUAUAAAGCCCGCCAUUUCUAAGGGGGUCCCGACGAUGCCCAGUCCCAGCCCAGUCCUGUGAGCAACAGCCCUGCCUCCAACAGGCGCCAUCCUGGCAUUUGCUGCACCUGACAAACUCCACGGAGCGAAUCCUGAAAUUGGAACCUACUCCUCGAGCUUGGCUUUUCCUCCUGAUGUGACAUUUCAGGACCAGACGUCCAAUCUUCAAGCCACCGGGUAUGGCAGAUGGUAUUCUCCAAAAAGGGCCCAGCAUUGGUUUCCUAGCACCGCCCUAACAAAUUACCACCCACUGCCCAAAUGUAGUCUCUCACUGUUCCUGAGGUCAGAAGUCUGAAAUCAAGGUGCUGGCAGGACUGUGCUCCCUCCAAAGCAUGCUCCUUCUUUACCUCUUCCAGCUUGCAGGGGCUCCUGGACUUCCUCGGCUUGGGCCAGCAUACCCCUAGUCUCUGCAUUUGUCUUCACAUGGCUGUCUUCCCUGUCCCUAUCUCUUUUGUGUCUGCAGAUCAGCUCCUCUUUUUAUAAGGACAGCUGUCAUUGGAUUUAGGGCCUACCCUAUUUCACUCUGACCUCAACUUAAUUACCUUUGCAAAGACUCGAUUUCUAAGUAAGGUCACAUUCUGACGUGCUGGGUGAAUGUGAAUUGUGGAUGACACCAUUCAACCCAAUACGAGACACAAUAACCUUUCUUGUUCCAUUUCUGCUUCCCAAACCUGGUCAUUCUCCCAUUGUGAGGUGAAGUCUAUGCCCCCUCCCUUUAAAAUGGGUGGGCCUUUGUGCCAGCUUCAACCAACAGAGAAUGGCAGAAGUGAGGUGGUGUGCCUACUGAGGCCAGGUCCUAAGAGACGUACAGCCCCACCUGCCUCUCUCUCAGAACGAGCCACCAUGCUGUGAGGAAGCCCAGGCACAUGGAGCAGGCCCACGCUGAGCUCCCAGCAACUGUCAGCACUGAUGUGCCAGGUGCCUGAGUGAGCCCUCUGGGAAGACGGUUCUCCAGCCCUCAGGCAGCCACCCCUGCUGACCCUUCAGGGAACACAGACAAACCUUCCCUACCAAGCCUUCCCCAAACUGCAUAGUUGUAAGUAGAAUAAAGGUUGUUGUUUUAAACCACCAAGUUUGGGGUUGUUUUGUGUGCAGCAUUACGUAUCUGGAAUACAGAGCCUGUCAUCCCUCUCCUCAGUGUCUUCCUUUCUACCUCUAACCUGUUAACCUGCAUGUUUCUUCUUCCCUCCUGCCCUCACCUGGGCUUUGACUUUUUUUUACUCUGGAUUGCAUCCUUAGCAUCCAGGUUUCUGGACGUUGGUCCCCAUUUUCUCCAUCCUACUAAGUAACCUUGGUCGCACAUUUUGGUCUUGCCACUAUCCUACUCAAAAUUCAAUGAUGCCUCUCCAUUGCUUGGAGCCUUUUCCUACAUUCCUUAACUGAGAGAUAAGACUUCAUUAACCUGGUCUCAGUUUACCUUUGCUGCCUUAUCGCUUAUGCCUUCUCUGUCUUUUUAGGGUUCCAACAAAGCAGACUAUUCACUCUUCCAAACACACCUUGAGCUCAGUCUUCUGCCUCGAUAAUUUGGUUUACCUUUUCAACAUAUAAUAAUGUUUUUUGAGCACAUAUUCAUGCCAGACAGAGUGCAGAAAACAGGAAUACUGGAACACCACCCCCUCCCCAUCUUCUCACUUCAUCUAACUGAAAUUCUGUCCAUUUUCCAAGGCUCAGCUCCAAACCUCACCUCCUCCAAGAAGCCUCCCCAGAUCCCUUAGCUAAAAUGAUCUUUGCUUUCCUCUUCCUACGCCUUCUUCACCAAACAAACCAAAUGACUUGCAGCUUUCUGACUACACCAAUCUUUCCCAAGCCUCUUGGCCCUUGUGCAUGCUGCAUAUUUCUCCUUCACUCUUUUCCAUCUAGCUAACCCCCACUACCCUUCAUACCUCAACUCAGAUAUCAUUUUCUUUUGAGAAAUUUUCUGUAAUCCACUGGGUCUGUCUUAGAUAUCCCGAUGUAUGAUUCACCUUGGCCUGGAAUGGAUCUUAUGUCUACCUCUGUGGCCUGGUGGAAGGUAUGCACUGGGUCUUUUACUCCUGUAUCCCAUGUACCCAGCCCACAGAGAGUGCACCAUAGUAUUUACUGAAUGACUGAAUGUUGAAUACUUGAGGAACUCACUAGAAAAGUCUCAAAGACCUUUCAACAUGGCUGGGUAUAGGAAAAGGAUUUGGAAAUGAGGCUUUGCUUAGCCAUUAAGUGUUCAUAGCUGUAUUUCAGGUUCCUUGAGUUGAUUUUUGAGCUCAGGUCCAGGUAAAGGAACUAUAUACAUAACCCUUCAUUGGUGCCCAAGCAUAGUUUGGUAGUGAAGAAAUAUUUUAACUGGAAGACAUUCAAUUUAGCAUUUUGCUAAUUGUUCUUUGUCCUUUGUGUAAAAGUCUUAUCUCUCCGACAAAAUUAUAAAAUUUUCAAGCAUAGGAACUGCAUAUUCUUUUUUUGUUGUUGUUGUUCUCCCACAGCCCCUAUUUUGUAUUGGGAACACAUAAGCUCCUCAAUAUUUAUUCAGCAGAUUUUUGUGGGGAGACAUAACUAGCCCCCCCAAAUUACUGAUGGCUUCCUUUGAAAAUCACUGCUCUUAUGCAUACCAAUCUACAAAGCUGCCUCCUUGCCUUGAAUGGAUAAUGAGGCUCCUAGACUCAUUGGACUCUUGGAAGAAGUGAAUUCUAAAGAGAACUGCAUUCUGGGAGGAAUCCUCCAUCUCACACUGUUUAACUUGUCUUUCCUUCUGGGGAUAGGAUUGUGAACCCAGAGUUUCCUGGGAUGUCAUUAUACAUCCUGGGCUUUAAUCAUCCAAGACUUGCCCCACCCUGCUAAAGUGACCCUGGGGACCACAAAGACAUUACUGUGGAGAGAGGUAGCUUCUUAAAAAAAGAACCCAACUUUCAAACGAUAGUUAGACGACCUCUCUUAGGCUCUGGUAUUAAAUCUGAGACUCUUGAGAGCAUUUGCUGAGGGAAUCCAUCAUCCUUUUAUUUUGUGUUUCCUGGGUCUUACUCAACAUUAUGACUCCAGGAGAAAAAAAAUACCAUGACUAGUACUUGAAAUGCUGGCACCUAUAGUAUCUUGAGUUAAUGUUACUUGCAGCUUUAUCCACGAACAAUUCUGCUGUGAAAUACUCAGCUGUAAAAGAAACGAGACUACUGAGAAGGAUUCCUUUGAGUGUCUCUGGCAUGCAGAGAGGCGAUGGGGAUCUGCGUGUGUACGUGUGGGAAAGUGAGGGGGGAUGAUAAAUAGUGUGCUACCUCUCCUUUAAGAGCACGUCCUUUUAUUCCUGACACUUAAAAAAGACACUGUCAAAAAGAUGUUUUACUGAUUUGACUUUCUGUGCAGGAGAACGUGCAACAGUUACCUAGUAAGUGGUUUUAUAGGGAGUUUCACCCACACGUUAUAAUAAACUGAGCCCGAAGAUAACAUAUCUUUUGUGCUUUUACAGUGCUUGGAUGAUAACUGUGAAAAAUUAUCUAGUGGAGGUUAGCAAACUGUACCUGUGGUCUUUUUCUCAUGACCUCUGUAUGAUAAAGUUUACUAUCUUGGAGCAUGAUGCAUUGUCAAAUAAUAGGUUUGCUUGUCUGGCCAACAAGAAGUAAUUGAGGAGUGUUAUAGUUUUACAAUCCAUGUUUCAAUGACUCUGCUGCUUUUGAGUUGUUAGACCUGAACAAAAUGGGUCAAUGUUGAAAGAAUAAAGUUUUUUUUCCUCUCCCCCUCCCCCAUCUCUUACCGUCUUUAUGGAGGUGUUUUGAAAUGGAAGGAUGGGAUCUAGGCCUUGACUAGGAUAGUUCUCUGCCUUGGCAUCCCCGGCUUCCAAUUUAGGGCUUGAGGUGGGAGAUCUCAGUUCUAGCUUAAUGGCUGAGAGCAAAUUUGGAUUUCACCUACCAGCAAAUAUCUAUUGAGCACCCUUGUAUUCCUUCUGUCCUUACAUUCCUUUUGUCUUUUAUUUUGGUUUAAAGAGUCUUUGGACCUCAGAUCUAUGUCUUUAAGGAACAAUCUUCCUCUCACAUUCUUAAGACUUAUUGGGAGCUGGGGCACCUGGGUGACUCAGUUGGUUAAGGAUCUGCCUUUGGCUCAGGUCAUGAUCCCAGGGUCUUGGGAUUGAGCCAUGCCGGGCUCCCUGCUCAGUGGGGAGCCCACAGGGGGGAACCUGCUUCUCCUCCUCCCUCUGUCCUUCCACCACCACUUGUGCUCUCUCUCUCUCUCAAAUACAUAAAUAAAUAUAAUCUUUAACAAACAAACAAACAAACAAAAGACUUGUUGGGAGCAAAUCAAAGCUUGGGUGACCUGGCUGAGCUGGUGCAGGUGACACAUCAAAGAUUUUGUCACAUUCCAUUUUCUUUGGGGCUGGGUCUCACCCAGCAUUUUGCCGAGUGUGUUGUAUACAAUACUAGUUCCAUGAGAUGCUCUGUGGUGAAGUGACUUUGGGAAACAUAGCAUACCUAAUCUAAACUCUUAUUUUAGUGCCUCAUGAUGAAAAUUAGCACGUGAAAGGCUUGAGAGAGUCCAGUUGUAGAGAAGCAUCUUCACUCUAGCAUUUCCCAAAGAUGACCACUGAAUCCCACCUCACCCCCAACGACCUGCAGGACUAGUGUGCUGCACGGUGUAUUUGGGGGGAAUUUAAAACAAAC